UGACCCCGCGCGGGAGAGUCCCCCGGACACCACCGGGGGCGCCGAAGGAGCAAAUCCUCCCCGGAAUCUCUCAGGCACACGUACCGCGCGGACGAG
rnacentral:ncRNA from 2 species